rnacentral:rRNA from 1 species
GGCGCACGGUGGAUGCCUUGGCACUAGGAGCCGAAGAAGGACGUGACAAACGACGAUAUGCCUUGGGUAGCUGUAAGUAAGCGAUGAUCCAGGGAUUUCCGAAUGGGGGAACCCAACAGGUACUACCUGUUACCCGCAUCUGUUAAGGAUGUGAGGAGGAAGACGCAGUGAACUGAAACAUCUAAGUAGCUGCAGGAAGAGAAAGCAAAAGCGAUUGCCUUAGUAGCGGCGAGCGAAACGGCAGGAGGGCAAACCGAAGAGUUUACUCUUCGGGGUUGUAGGACUGCAAUGUGGACUCAAAGAUUAUAGAAGAAUGAUUUGGGAAGAUCAGCCAAAGAGAGUAAUAGCCUCGUAUUUAAAAUAGUCUUUGUACCUAGCAGUAUCCUGAGUACGGCGGGACACGUGAAAUCCCGUCGGAAUCUGGGAGGACCAUCUCCCAACCCUAAAUACUCCCUAGUGACCGAUAGUGAACCAGUACCGUGAGGGAAAGGUGAAAAGCACCCCGGGAGGGGAGUGAAAUAGAACCUGAAACCGUGUGCCUACAACAAGUUCGAGCCCGUUAAUGGGUGAGAGCGUGCCUUUUGUAGAAUGAACCGGCGAGUUACGAUUGCAUGCAAGGUUAAGG